rnacentral:rRNA from 1 species
UACGUAGGUGGCAAGCGUUGUCCGGAUUUAUUGGGUUUAAAGGGUGCGUAGGCGGUCUAUUAAGUCGGCGGUGAAAUACUCCAGCUUAACUGGAGGGGUGCCAUUGAUACUGAUGGACUUGAGUCAAGUCGAGGUAGGCGGAAUUGACGGUGUAGCGGUGAAAUGCUUAGAUAUCGUCAAGAACACCAAUAGUGAAGACAGCUUGCUGGGCUUAAACUGACGCUGAGGCACGAAAGUGUGGGGAGCAAACAGG